UGAGGAAUAUUGGUCAAUGGGCGUAAGCCUGAACCAGCCAAGUAGCGUGAGGGAAGACUGCCCUAUGGGUUGUAAACCUCUUUUGUGCGGGGAUAAAGUGUGGGACGUGUCCCAUAUUGCAGGUACCGCACGAAUAAGGACCGGCUAAUUCCGUGCCAGCAGCCGCGGUAAUACGGAAGGUCCGGGCGUUAUCCGGAUUUAUUGGGUUUAAAGGGAGCGCAGGCCGUCCUUUAAGCGUGCUGUGAAAUGCCGCGGCUCAACCGUGGCACUGCAGCGCGAACUGGAGGACUUGAGUACGCACGAGGUAGGCGGAAUUCGUGGUGUAGCGGUGAAAUGCUUAGAUAUCACGAAGAACUCCGAUUGCGAAGGCAGCUUACCGGAGCGCAACUGACGCUGAGGCUCGAAAGCGCGGGUAUCGAACAGG
rnacentral:rRNA from 1 species